GACAAAUCAAGAUUCAAUGAUUUUUGAAAACCAUGGAAGCAGAGGUACUGCCCAGCCUUGCCCAAGAUGUAUCGCUGGAGAAUCUGUAUACAAAAGAAUUCUUCUAAAUAGCUGCCUUGGAAAAAUGUAACACUUGCCGAACAGUGCAGUCUAUAACCCUGGGAAGGGAACAGUUGUACUCUGGAGUGGCAGUAGUGAAACCAACGAGAGGGAAGACGGAGGCAUAGGUAUUUGCUUACUUUUCUGUUUUUGCUACAUACAUGUACCAUAUAUGCCCCCAUGUAUCGAGUGUAAAGUAACUUCUAUUUACGAAUGAAUGUAGGAUUUUGAUUGGAUAGAAUUGUACAUUUUGUAUAAAGGUAAGCAGAUGAAACACUCUUGAAGAGAAUUAGG